ensembl:lncRNA
CUCCCCAGGCCCCGGCCCCGCCUCCUCAGGCCCCGGCCCCGCCUCGCACGGGCUCUCCUGCAGAAGCGUUGUGGGGGCGGCAGCGAGCCUGUGCACAGAGCGUACAGGAACCGGGCUUGUGGACCCAGGGCAGGUUCUGAAGUGGCUAAAGAGGAGGCAAUCAUCUGGGGGCCAGAGGGAGACCUGCCUGGACGACGGCCGGAGGGAGCGCUGCAGUACAGACCUCCGGGGGCCAGGGAGGAGCACCCCCGUGGAGGGCAGUGGGUGGCCUCAUGGUGACCAGGACAACAGGGAGGGCCGGGGGGAAGAAGGUGCAGAGGAGCCGGCUCAGCCUGGGCUGCCGUCCCCUCCUCACAGCCAGCAGGGCAUCUCGGCACAUGUGGACCCGGGAGGACUCGGUUCCCACCAGGAGCACUGGGAGUCCCGAGCUGUGGGCUUGGGCUUCUCAUCAUACAAGGCAGCGGCUCCUUCUCUCCUGAGGAUGUGGGGACCAGCCUGUGAGCUCCACGGUGACAGAUGCCACUCUUCUGUUCAGGACAGCUGCUGACCAAGUGGGGCCAAUGGGGAGAGUCCAUUUCAAAUUUCCACCUGGACUCCCAGACCCUGACUCUAGCGGAGACCCUCCCCUGGCGCCAUCAGGACAAACUUGCCCCCAGGUAAAAGUCUCAGAGGGCGAAGGGGACACAUCACCACUGAUAGGACUCCUGGACACACGAUUUUGUUGCACCUCAUCCCCGCCAACACGCAGGUCUCCACGCCGCAGCCCUGGCCCAGCACGACUCUCCCCUGCCUUUCACCAUAUUCUGUGCUCAGCACGCUGAAUCUGAGACUACUUGAGGUGGCGGGUGAUUCUGAUGAUAACUGUAAAAA